rnacentral:lncRNA from 1 species
CUCCCUUAUCCAUCUUUCCUUGCAUCUUUUUGCUUAUUAUAAAUACAGUUUUAUUUUCUAUAAAAAAAACUAAUUGUUAAUGUAUUCUUCUAUAUGUAAGGCUACUUGAUCUUAAAUAAAUAAGGCGACAAUAAAUUAGUUGUUUAACCUUUCUUUUUGGAAUGGAUGGGUACAUGAAUUAGAUGCAAUGAACUGUCUUAUGUCUUCUUUUGAUCGGAGAUUUCAUGUUGAAACAUUACUCUUCCAAAUAUAUUUCUCUAAUUCUAUCAAAAAAAAAAUAUUUCUUCAAGAGUUUGACAUAAUCUAAUAGUUUUUUGUUAUGACUCUGCCUACAAUAUACGUGUGAGUACCCCAAAUAUACAUGUAUCCGAUAUGAUAGCAUCCAUUUAGUUAAUCUUUUCUUCUUUUCCUAGAAAGACUGAAGAAUAGAUUCUGGUCCCAACUUAAUAUCACGUGCAUCGCACAUGACACGGACUAAUUGCCCUCUAAAAUGCUAGUAUUCUUGUCGCCUC